rnacentral:rRNA from 1 species
GGGUUGUGAGGUUAAGCGACUAAGCGUACACGGUGGAUGCCCUGGCAGUCAGAGGCGAUGAAGGACGUGCUAAUCUGCGAUAAGCGUCGGUAAGGUGAUAUGAACCGUUAUAACCGGCGAUUUCCGAAUGGGGAAACCCAGUGUGAUUCGUCACACUAUCAUUAACUGAAUCCAUAGGUUAAUGAGGCGAACCGGGGGAACUGAAACAUCUAAGUACCCCGAGGAAAAGAAAUCAACCGAGAUUCCCCCAGUAGCGGCGAGCGAACGGGGAGCAGCCCAGAGCCUGAAUCAGUGUGUGUGUUAGUGGAAGCGUCUGGAAAGGCGCGCGAUACAGGGUGACAGCCCCGUACACAAAAAUGCACAUGCUGUGAGCUCGAUGAGUAGGGCGGGACACGUGGUAUCCUGUCUGAAUAUGGGGGGACCAUCCUCCAAGGCUAAAUACUCCUGACUGACCGAUAGUGAACCAGUACCGUGAGGGAAAGGCGAAAAGAACCCCGGCGAGGGGAGUGAAAAAGAACCUGAAACCGUGUACGUACAAGCAGUGGGAGCCUCUUUAUGGGGUGACUGCGUACCUUUUGUAUAAUGGGUCAGCGACUUAUAUUCUGUAGCAAGGUUAACCGAAUAGGGGAGCCGAAGGGAAACCGAGUCUUAACUGGGCGUUAAGUUGCAGGGUAUAGACCCGAAACCCGGUGAUCUAGCCAUGGGCAGGUUGAAGGUUGGGUAACACUAACUGGAGGACCGAACCGACUAAUGUUGAAAAAUUAGCGGAUGACUUGUGGCUGGGGGUGAAAGGCCAAUCAAACCGGGAGAUAGCUGGUUCUCCCCGAAAGCUAUUUAGGUAGCGCCUCGUGAAUUCAUCUCCGGGGGUAGAGCACUGUUUCGGCAAGGGGGUCAUCCCGACUUACCAACCCGAUGCAAACUGCGAAUACCGGAGAAUGUUAUCACGGGAGACACACGGCGGGUGCUAACGUCCGUCGUGAAGAGGGAAACAACCCAGACCGCCAGCUAAGGUCCCAAAGUCAUGGUUAAGUGGGAAACGAUGUGGGAAGGCCCAGACAGCCAGGAUGUUGGCUUAGAAGCAGCCAUCAUUUAAAGAAAGCGUAAUAGCUCACUGGUCGAGUCGGCCUGCGCGGAAGAUGUAACGGGGCUAAACCAUGCACCGAAGCUGCGGCAGCGACGCUUAUGCGUUGUUGGGUAGGGGAGCGUUCUGUAAGCCUGCGAAGGUGUGCUGUGAGGCAUGCUGGAGGUAUCAGAAGUGCGAAUGCUGACAUAAGUAACGAUAAAGCGGGUGAAAAGCCCGCUCGCCGGAAGACCAAGGGUUCCUGUCCAACGUUAAUCGGGGCAGGGUGAGUCGACCCCUAAGGCGAGGCCGAAAGGCGUAGUCGAUGGGAAACAGGUUAAUAUUCCUGUACUUGGUGUUACUGCGAAGGGGGGACGGAGAAGGCUAUGUUGGCCGGGCGA